CUGUUAAAAUUCUGGCACCUCUCAGAGGUCACUCUAACCUAGUUAAGUUCUGUUAAGAAAAGCUGUUAUUAUGGCUCACAGCUUUUUUUUUUUUUUCUCCCCUACAAGAUUGUCUCCUUUUGGCUCGUGCUCUUCAGGACUCACCUCUAUCUCCCCUGCCCUGCUCCUGCCUCUCCUGGUUUAAAUUGCUUUCUGCCAUACACUAUUAAAGACUAGACUAAACUACCUGGACACUAGGAAAAGUUAUCAAUCGUUGGGUUAAAAUUCCUGCAGUAUUUCCUUGUUUGUUCUUUUCCCUGGUUGGUAUUUUGACCACAAAUGAAGCACAUUGAGUGAGGCUCCUCAUAGAAAAGGUGCUGGGCUGGAACAGGACAGAUGUGAGUUCACUUCCCUGCUGUGACAUGGGUUUCCUCUCUGUCCUUGGAUAUACCAUUUAAUUUGUCUCUCUCAUUCUGUCUCAUUCCCUGCCUCACUGCUUUGCACAUGAUAAUAUUUGUUUUCACCAUCGAGCAUAUCUCAAUGUGUUUCUUCUCCUAGUGUGAAAUCUCUAUUAACCAAUGUGUACACAGGACUGUGGAGAGUAAGAUUUCAGUCUCUGGACCUCAAAUUUCAUAAUAUCACACAAAUAAAUACAUUAAAUAAAUGCCUUUCCUUCCAGCUUGUUCACCAUGACUGUAUGAUGUUUGAAACAAAAUGAUGUUAAGGUUAAACUUGAUCUCUCUUGCCUGAAGCUUUUAAUGAAGUAAAAAGGAUAAGAUUUCAUUCCAGUAUUAGUGUGACAAGUCUACGACCUUAAAUAGAGUCCUGCUGAAUUUCUCUGGGGGAUAAGUCCACAGCCAGAUAAAUCAUAGAAUCAUAAAAUAUCCUGAGUGGGACCCACAAGGAUCACUGGAGUCCAGCUCCUGGCCCUACACAGGAUGCCUGCAAGACUCAUUUAGAGCUGCUGACUUCCUGGUGCUCCUUUGUGCAAUAUUCCCUUUUAUCUGCUGAAUGAAGAAACCUGGAUCACCAGCUGUCCUGCUCCCAUGGCACAGGGCUCAUCAGCACUUCAGGGUGCACAGCAAGUCCUGGCUUCUUGUUGGGCACGUCUCAAGGAAAGCCCUGCAGGACAAGAAUGGAACUUGGCACAUUCAAGGCAGAGAAGGAUUCCCUAGCAUGGGAAGAAAAUCCCACUUGCAAAGGGCCUUAUCUGAUACUGGCAGGACCAUUCCCUCGUGUGUUCAGUUAUGA
rnacentral:lncRNA from 1 species